AGUGAACGCUGGCGGUAGGCCUAACACAUGCAAGUCGAACGGCAGCACAGUAAGAGCUUGCUCUUACGGGUGGCGAGUGGCGGACGGGUGAGGAAUACAUCGGAAUCUACUUUUUCGUGGGGGAUAACGUAGGGAAACUUACGCUAAUACCGCAUACGACCUACGGGUGAAAGCAUGGGAUCUUCGGAUCUUGCGCGAUUGAAUGAGCCGAUGUCGGAUUAGCUAGUUGGCGGGGUAAAGGCCCACCAAGGCGACGAUCCGUAGCUGGUCUGAGAGGAUGAUCAGCCACACUGGAACUGAGACACGGUCCAGACUCCUACGGGAGGCAGCAGUGGGGAAUAUUGGACAAUGGGCGCAAGCCUGAUCCAGCCAUACCGCGUGGGUGAAGAAGGCCUUCGGGUUGUAAAGCACUUUUGUUGGGAAAGAAAAGCAGCAGGUUAAUACCCCGCUGUUCUGACGGUACCCAAAGAAUAAGCACCGGCUAACUUCGUG
rnacentral:rRNA from 1 species